GAUUCCGAUGUUUACGUCAUUGUAUUUUCAUAUAGUAUAAUAUACUAUAUGAAAAUACAAUGACGUAAACAUCGGAAUC